AAUCAGCCGGUGGAAGGGAGGAAGACGACCUUGUGCAGGUGCAGAGGGAACAAGGAGAGCAGGGAUGGAAUUGAUGGGUAGCAAAGUUGUUUUGUUUUUUUUAAGCACAGCAUACCGGAGCACACAAACAUGCCAGAGCAAUAAACAGGUGGCUUAGAGCACAUUCAUGAGUCAGCAACCAUAUGGGCUGACUGUUGACACCAGAGUGAUGAGAAGAUCCCAGUCUGGAGUUACUGUGCUAUGUAGCUUUAGGGUCUCUAUACUGAUCUGGUUGAUGUUCAAGUCAGUGUUCUAACUGAGACACUCAACUCAGCUUCACCCCUCCUGCACAAAUGCAGAAAUCCUGCUCCUUUACCAAAGAGUCAUGUGUGAACAGAGAGGAGAACUGGGGAUCUUUCUUAUUUUCCCCCCACCUUUCCUCACGAAUGCUGCUCUGACACGGUGAUGUGUGUGCGUGUGUGAGUGUGUGUGUUAAUUGCCUCCCGAGAGUGCGGUGUCCGUACUAAUGUUAGAUCUCCUCAAUCAGCCUAUGCGUGUGCUACACACACUGCUGCAGCCCCCUCCGACCGCACUGAGAUCCAUGCAACGCACGGUUAUGCCGAUGCUCUCCCUGCUGUUCUCUCUCCCAUGUACUCUGUGUGUGUGUGUGGUGGCAUGCAGGGAUAGAUAAGAGGAGGGGAGUGAAGUAAAGGUGAGAGGAAAAGGACAUAAAUACGAUUUUUCUUUCUUUCUUUUUUUUAAAUCCACCAAAGAGUCGAAAAGGACAGAACAAUCAGGAGAACGAGGCUCAGGCAAUGACCUUAAGAUGGGGGACAAAGCAGGGAGAAAGGGUGAUUUUUUGAGAGAGGGAUGGAAAAAAGAGACAAAGUGAAUGCAGCACUCUCACUGGGGGCAUCUACAGCGAGCAGCUACUGUAAUAUUGUCUCUUCUCUAGUAAUGGAAGAAGGGGGUAGAAGAGAGUGUGUAAGGGGGCAGGAGGAGGAGGAGGAAUUGCAAAGGAGAGUGCUCUAUAAAAGUGAAUGAAUUCUGCUGCAGUAAAAAGCCAGAGUUAUUUGCUCGCUCUCUCCCUCUCUUUCUACUCCAGGUGAGGUCGGAUUGUUCACCCACGGGCUGCUCCGCCAUCCAGAGGGGCUCGCGAUGUUUCAGCAAAGCCACGUGAUGGCAGCCGCAAAGGCCGUACCUGCACCACAUCCAUGUUGUGAACCUUUUUUUUAUAGUCAAGGAAAUGCACCACUCUCCUCCUCCCCCUCCUUUCCUGCAAGCUCUUAGUAGCCCUCCCUCCCCCCCACCCUCUCCCUAGUUUGACUCUCUCCCUCACUUUGUCUUCCUCACUUGCGCUCACAUUCCGCAUAAAGGAAUCACAUUUCAUUGGAGGAAGGGAAUCGAGGCUUCACUUCUUCUUCUCGAGUGUACCUAUCCGUCUCUGUCUUUCUCUCCAGUUCUUUCUACUACCCCCCUUCCCUGUUUUCAUUUACUCACUGCAGUCCUACAGUCUAAUUCUCUCUUCUCUUCCAUUUCUCUCAUCUUUGACUUCGCUCACCUCUCCUCUCUUUUUCUCCUUUCCCAAAGUAAGCUUCCUUUCCUUCCUGUCCAUCCUUUCCUUCUCUUUCCCCCUCUUACUUUUUGCUAUCUUUCAUGCGGGAUGCCACUUACUACGUCUCUUUUGCUUUGCUAGAGUUUAAUCCUGAUUUUUGCACUUCUUGUCUGAAGGAGCAACUUUUUGGUUGUCCAUGGAAAAGUUUCCUCUGUCCUGGCAACACUCAGCCUGGAGCCCACACAUGCUCACUCUGCUGGACGGACGCACAAACACCAUUUUGUCUACAGGUUCGCAGCCUUGACUCUGCCUUGGCUGACAUCAGCAGUCAUGUGGUACAAGCUGGUGGAUUAUGUGACAAAGUAUGUCUGAAAACAGUAAAAAUAUAGAAAAAUUGGCUUUUUUUCAUCUAUGCUAUCAUACAUUAAAAGGAAAAAUCUGAAAAUCUUGAAAUAAGUGAAGCUGCAUGAAGAAUAUUCCCUACAUGUAUGCCUGUAAUAUUCUAUAAAGUGUAACAGGAUUAACAACAAAGUGAAUCUUGGGGGAAAAAACUCUGCUUUCUACCUGCUGCUUUUACAAGAAGACUAAUGGUGUGUGGAGACGACUUCUAGCAAAAGUACAAAGAUCAGCAGGAUAUGUUGAUGGUGCACUUAUUGGCAGGAAACUGUCAAUGAGUGCUGCAUCAUCUCAUGAAACUUACAAGAAAGAAAAAGUCCUUUGACCACAAAAUAUUCCUGUAAGAGCAAAGUGCAGGCAGAAAACCAGUGAGCUAAGGAGACAAAGUAAGGUGGGAGAUGUUUAAGGAUAUUUACUGAUUUUUUUAUGGAAUCAAAACUGAAAACUGUAACAUUUGAACUCUAAUGUGAUAGUUCAUCCCAUGCAUCCCAUACAGUCUGUGCAAGGAAAAGGGAGUUUAUGCCGAAAGCAGGGCAUGAAAAUAUAAAUACAGUCUGCUAUUCUGAACAGGAAGCCUGAGUCUUUCUUUCCUUUUUCUUUCUCCACUUAUUUAAAAAACGAUUAACGCAGGAGCCAUUUGUGUCUUGCAAAGCUGCUUUUAAGUCCUUUUUCAAGUAAUUUUUCAAAUUAAGUCACCUUUUGUGAAGCUUCCAGAUCUAAGCACAAAAUCUAGAAGCUGCUUUUUCCUCCCUCAGGGAACACGCCUUCAUUUACACCUCCGAGAGCCCUGCGGCAUUGUCUCAGAUCAGUCAAACGUAUGAUUUAUAGAGGUGUCAAGCUCCUCUACACCACAGUUUUUUAUUUUAAAACCAUCUAUAGCACUUAGUGUAUUGGCAGUACUAUGAGUCUUUGGCCAAGACAGCAGCAGCUUUAUUGGGCUUUACCGGACAAAGGCCAACAUUUGCAUGUUCUCAUGUAAUGAAGCUGGUGUUUAGCACGAAAUAUCUACCAAAUUCAUAAUUUUAGCAUUUAGCCUGAGGAUUGGUAUUCCAUCUGCAGUCAUUUCAGUUUGGUGGCACAGCUCUGCUGUGGGACUUCCCCACCCUUGCAUAACUAUGCAUGGACAGUCUGAGGCAGGGAGAGAAGCGACAGGAGGGGCGUUUCCAGGAUUUUUUUUUUUAAAAAUGGGGUGGCAAAGGGAGGAUCCAACAAGAAAUCAGAGAAUUCUAUGAGAAAUAAACAAUAAACUAAAUGUGUUUAAUUGUACUGAGUGGUAGAAGUACAUAAGAACUGUAAACAGAGAUCCUUUGUUUACAGUUUGCAAAGGAAAGCAGUCAGAGUACAGUAGGAACACAAAGGACCACUGUUAGGUACACUCGGGAGAGCCUAUCUUUUAGACCCGAUGAAUUUAUAUAGCUAUAAUUAAAACAGUAGCUUUCACAUGCCACAUUAUUUAGCCUUAGAUAAGUAUAAAUUCACAGUGAAACACUGAGGAGGAUAAAACUGCUCAUGAAACUAAAGAAAAGUCUUAAGUGAUUAAAGUCAGUAUCAAAGAGUUAUACACACUAUAUCUAAUGCCUGGAUAUAGUGUUAGACCAUAUGUAGGUAUUAAAUAAAAGCUUGACAAGUCAUAUAAUUCACAAGACAUUUUACUGCAAAUUCUGAAAAAUCUGUGCUAAUGAAAAGGCCACAAAUGGCAGAUUUUGAACUGAGUACAGGGCAAUCAAUUGUCUGAAAUAAUCCAGUCUGGAACAAAAUGGUGGAACAAUCAACCAUCAGACUCUUCUUCUUCUUCUUUUGGCUGCUCUCUUUAGGGUUCGCCACAGUGGAUCACCAGCCUCCAUCUUCCACUAUUCUGUCCUAGCAUCCUCCUCUGUCACAUCAACCCUCUGCAUGUCCUUCACCGCAUUCCCAAACCUCCCCUUCCUCUUUUCCUCCUGCUUGGCAGCUCCAUCUUCAACAUCCUUCUUCAACUACAUCCACCGUCCCUUCUCCGCACGUAUCCAAACCAUCUCAACCUUGCUCCUCUAACUUUGUCUCCAACAUGCUCAACCCAAGCUGUCCCUCUGAUGUACUCAUUUCUAAUUUUGUCCAUUCUGGUCACUCCCAGAGAAAAUCUUAACAUCUUCAACCACUGCCACCUCCAGCUUGGCCUGCUGUCUUUUUGUCAGUGCCAUACAUCACAGCAGGUCUCACUACCAUCUUAUAAACCUCGACUUUUACUCUUGCUGCUCCCCUUUUGUCACAAAUCACCCCUGACACUCGCCUCCACCAGCUCCACUCUGCCCACACUCUCUUCUUCACGUCUCUUUUGGAUAGUGGACCAUUUGUAGUCCUUGCACCUUCACUGCUACAUCUGUCUACACAUAUUCAGUUUUGCUUCUACUGAUUUUCAUUCCUGUUCUCUCCAUUGCAUACUUCCAGCUCUCCAGACUCUCAGUAUAGAUUACAACAUCAUCUGUACAGUCCACUAAGUGUCUUGCCUGACCUCAUCUCUCAGCCUUUCAGUCAACCCUCAUGUAAUCCCACCCCCACCUUGAACCAAUAUGCCACAUCUGCCACACACCUCACCACUGUGUGGCUGGCCCCAUAAAUGUAACCAACCAAAAUACUAGCAUGGCCCAAAGUCAAAGAGCUGCUAAGCUAAAACCUAAUGUACCAACUAUGUCCAAUAACACAAAGACUAUCAAUCACUGCUCAUCAAGGCACCAUUUUCUGCUUUCAGUUCAAAGUGAAGUCUCUCUCUGUGGCCAGAACAGACGAGCAGGAAGUCAGCCACAGAAAGUAGCUGACACUGUUUCUUCAUCAACCUGCAUAAAUACUGAAUGCUCAACUUUGUCCAUACUAAGAGUGAGCAUUAGUCAUCACAGACACUCGCAGUCAAUCUCUGGGCGGCAGCAUACCGCAGCUCAUGCAUAAGGAAGCAGGUAGCAGACCUGAGCAUACAUCGUGUGGACGAGACAAGAUUUCCUGCAUUGAGAAAGAAGCUGUGAAAAUGCCCUCAAUCUCAUAGGUUCAACACAGUUUCUAGUAAUCUAUUUAGGAGUUAUUGUUCCUACUGCAAAGGUGGAUGUUGAGCAGUUAAAAAAUGAAAGAGGGCAGGACUAAACAGCCUAUACAUGUAUAUACCGGUGUUUGCACAUAUGCAUAUAAAAGAAAAAAAGAUUACUGGUCUUCAGAAUACGAUGAAGAUGACAAACCGGCAGUUGAAUAAUCUUUAUUAACGUCGUCUCCCACUAACUGAAAAAGUGUCCACUCACUCAGGGCUUCCCAUAUUCAGAAUGAAAAACAAAACCUCCCGAAGCGAUCUCAAGGCGUUUGAUGCAUUUUAUGUUUGGUGGAAGGUGUACGAGGAUAUACAAUUGGUUCUGAUAAGGGAACAAGACAAAACACACAAAUCAAACACUGCAGAGCUGCUGUUUGUAUGCUGUGUGGGACCAAGCACCAGAUGUCAACAACAGCCGCAGCAAAGUGCAGUAAUUGGGAAGACUAUAAGAAGCCUUUUAAAGAGUUAUUAACUAUUGGCGUGUGAGCAACAGCAGUAAUGCCUCCAGUCUCAUAAUGUGAUUUAUGAAAUGAGUCAAAGCAGUCUUAUUAUCAUGGUGUUUCCUACACUGCUGUUAAUAUCGCCUCGAGCUGACUUGUUUCUAUUGUUUAUUGGGCAGUGUGUAAUUAUCUGGUUCAUUCAAGAUUUUUCUAAGGGAAAAAAAGAACUAUUGUACUACUGUAGCUUUAAACAGUGUAAACUCGGACACAUGCAAUACAUAUGAUUAGAGGUGGUUUGCUUUUCUGGACAUAAAUCUUUACCUUUCUUUAUAAUAAUGUUUUGUACUCAUUUACAGAAAUAUGAGAAGUUGCACAGAGGUGAAAAGUGCAUUUGGGGAUCAGUGUUUGUAAUAAUUACUGUUGCAUUUCUUCAACUUAAAAUAAAGAAAAAGUAUCUUGGUGUGGCUGUCUUUAUUUCCUGUGUGCUUGUGUUAAUUUGUUUAGACUGGUGGCACUUUUGGAUGUAUCAUUUAUGCAAACUCUUCCAUUGAAAAGGUGGAAAACCUGUAAUCACAUCACUGAAUAGACAGUCCUCGCUUCUGUUAGCUAUUAUCUUGUCCUCAGAAGUUAAUAGAAGCGAUGUAACAGCCACCCCAGGAGAGAAAUAUUGAUUAAGAGAUAGGAUAGUGCUAAACUUUAUCAACACACCUUCAGCAGUUACAUUAAAUCCAAUGCAACUUCACGCCUCCCAUAAAACCUGACUAAAAGCGUACAGAGAGCGCUGCUUAUCAUUUUUAAGGCUUUAGUAUUUAGAUAGUUGAAGCCCGGCCAUCCAGUAAUGGAUUUCUUCCCUUAAAUUCAGCUGUUUGCUGUAGUAUAUACCGACAUGUGACCACCGGGCAAAGCAUGGUUACAUAGUUUGAACUGUUAACAUAUGGAAACUGCUGCUUUAUUACAUUGCAACCAAAAAAUAUUUACAUGCAGAAAACAAAAGUCAUGCUACCAUCUUGUGUCAACAUAUUAGGGCACACCAGCAUCUGCUGUGCUACCUGAAGCCUUCGCACUACCUGUCAGAAACCCACAGAGAACCUAAUUUAGAGCCCGGAGGCUGCAGACCGAGGGCGCGUGCUUCAUUUCAAUAAAGUACAGCACAGAGUGCAUCGGCUCCCGGGCUGCAAAUCACGCUGACACACUGCUGGCAGGCAGGGGAUUUCUUACUUUAUCACCAUGACAUAGUAAAAAAAAAAAAAAAAAUCAAAAUAAGGCCGGGAUGGGAUUACAUAAGGAAAUACAGGAUUUGAGUAAUAAAUGAUUUAAGAUGCACAUUUGGUUGCACUCACAGUAAACAGUAA